rnacentral:rRNA from 1 species
AGAUUGAACGCUGGCGGCAGGCCUAACACAUGCAAGUCGAGCGGCAGCACGGGUACUUGUACCUGGUGGCGAGCGGCGGACGGGUGAGUAAUGCCUAGGAAUCUGCCUGAUAGGUGGGGGAUAACGUUCGGAAACGGACGCUAAUACCGCAUACGUCCUACGGGAGAAAGUGGGGGAUCUUCGGACCUCACGCUAUCAGAUGAGCCUAGGUCGGAUUAGCUAGUUGGUAGGGUAAAGGCCUACCAAGGCUACGAUCCGUAACUGGUCUGAGAGGAUGAUCAGUCACACUGGAACUGAGACACGGUCCAGACUCCGUACGGGAGCAG